AGUGGAAAAUGCACUGGAGAAGGGAGCCCACACCUUGGCCACUGGAAAAGAAGGAAAGCGGUCAGGUUUGGUGAUCCUGGGACCUGUGGCAGGAGGGAAGUGUCAGAGCACAAAGCACUUCACCGGAGAGCCGACAAGGCUAACAAGGAGGAGGACCGAGGAGGGGGCCCCGCUGGCAGGCAGCAUCACGGCACCAGAAGCACUUCACGCUAAUUGGCUUGCUUUGGCCAAUGAGUCACCAAAUGCAGGGAUGGAGCCCAAGACCAGGGAAGAUCCUGCAAACAUCAGGUCAGGGCUCAGAGGAAAGCCAGGCGCUGGGCAGCCAGCCUGAUCAGACUCUGCCGGGAUCUCUCUGAAAACCUCCUCCAGCCUGAGUCACUGAGGCUUUCAAACCUUGGUUUUAACCCACUUCAGUCCUCAGGCUUUCCUUGAGAGAAGUUCUACAACAAGAAAGAAUAGGAAAGAAAAGGCAGAGAUUGGAAAGGUUUUUACAAAUACACAGACCAGGUCCUUUAACAGCAGGGAAUUCCUUGGUGGGCGUGAUUCUCCGGGGCUAGAAAGAAAGGCCACCCCAGCCCUCUCUCUUCAGAGCAGCCUGGCAGAAGCUUUCAUAGCAACACCCUGACUUCCUUGGCAACACUGAUUGACAAGAAGUGAACUCCAUCAGCAUUUAUAUGCCUCACAUGGGGCUGUGGUGGCCUGAGAUGGAGAAAGAUGCUUCUCUCCACCAAACACUGGCCCCUGAAGCCAAGGAGUCACACUAACUCCAGCCUUCAGCAGCCAAACCAGCUCAAGCACGCGCUUGGGAGGAAAACACAUAAUAAAUGUCAAAGCUGAGCUCAGCUCCUGGAAUGCAAAGUCACCAAAUCGGUGCAAACUCAUGAGAAGAGCAGAAAUGAAUAAGUUCACUUUUAAAGUUUUACAGAUGCGGAAACUGAGGCUUAUGGAUUCAAGCAGUUCCUUAAACACAAGCUGUCCUCCUAACAACUGGAAUAAAUAAAAUGAGGACUUUGGGCCAGAUCCUAUAUUAAGGACCACGGCAGCCGCCAGUCCCUGCUCUUACCUUUGUAAGGGUAGGGCCCCUGCUGCCUCCUCUGCCUGCUCACCCUUCGUCCCUGCGCCAUCCUUUGCUGGUCCCGGUCCUAUGGCUCCUCCAAGACUCAGGCUAGGAAGUACCUCCUCUCGGAAGCCUAGCGGAUCUCCCCUCCUCACCCUCCCAACCCCUGCCCUGUUGGACUCUCCUCCUGAGCUCCCCAGAUGCCUUCCUUUCUCAUUCCAGAAAUGAGGAGACCGGUUGGGGAUGAAGGACUGUGAUUCUCCAUCAUCUGCAGCUUAAGCACCAGCCCACGAGGAAACGACAAGGGGAGCUCAUUGAUGAAGAGGCUCAGGUGAGGUGUGGGAUUUAGGGAGGGACUGUGACAGGGAAGGCCACGGAGCCAUCAUCAGGGGGCCACCAACAUUACAACCCCACCCCAGAACAAGGCAGUGAAAGGGGACAGAGUUAUUAAUGCUCCAAUGGUCUAAAUGUCCACUGGUCCCAGCUGCUGAUCCAUAUCUCAACAGCACUAGCUACUGCGAACUGAGUCCCUCCCACGUGUUAGACGUGUUGGACUUUGGUCCUCAUUUCCACCAAGGAAGGGGCCAGUACUCCCAUCUUAGAGACACUGAGUCACUGGGUCACAGGUUGGCCCUAAUAACUGGCCCCACAUCACACAUCCAGGAAACAUUGGGAAGGGGGGAGGCUGGGAUUCAAACCCAUGGAUCCACCCCAAAGCUCAUGGUUGGCCUUUCCUCGGCUCCCACUGGCUGGCUGCUCUCAUCACACAUGCCCCCCACUGAUUGUCAGGGAAACUGUGCGAGGUGAGAGUGGCCAUCUCCAUUGUGCCCACCAAGAAACAGUGGGUCUGAGGGGCGAUGAGAAGGGUUGUAUGCUUUCUCCCUACCCCAAGCCAGGAACCUGGCACACCCUGACCCUGUGGACAGAGCAGCCAAGCCCUCAAGGUGACGUGGAUGACGGAGAGAGUGAACUGCUCUAACCGGGCCUCAGUCCCACUUUCCCUGCCUCCUCCAUCACUCCAGGCUGGAAUUUUUUUUUUGGGGGGGUGGGCAGGGAGAGACCCUACUCUUGUAGGACACCAAAGCUGGCCAUCUCUGUGUCUCUCUCUCCCUCCAUGUUUGCACACAGAGGAAAGAACACGUGACUACACAGCGAGAAGGGGACCAUCUGCAGGCCACAUCAGGCAUCGACCCUGCGGGCACCUGGUGCUGAACAUCCAGCCUCCAGAACUCUCAGAAAAUCCGUUUCUCUGGGUCAAGCCACCGAGGUGGCGGGUCCCGCGAUGGCAGCAUCACCGCCAGCUUCUCUGGCUCCAUCCUGCUGAUGAGGCUGCCACUGGUACCUGGUCUCUGCCAGCCGCGAGGGCCUUCCCUGUUCCCGGAGCCGAGGGGAGGAGGCACUCUGCAGCCUUUCUCAAGCCUCUCAUGCUGCUACGGCAUCAGUGGGCACAUUCCUCAUGAAGAGCCUGGAUGAUAAGGGGGACCAAGGGUGCUUGGGGCUGGAGGGGUUCAGGAGAGGCUGGUCACAGUGCUGUGUCCCUGUCACCAAGAUGCGGCCAUUUCUCAAUGCAGAGGUCAGAGAGUCACCAGACGCUAGAACGACAGGAUAAAGCAGAUAUAACCUGGACUUGACUUCUGGCCCUGCCACUUGCUGGGAGAUUGGUCAUCAGUGGGGCUAUGCACCAGUCUCCUGGCACCCUCGUUUCAGACAGGUGGUAAGAUUGAUCUUCUCGCCUCCUGGAAGUUGGGUGUUGCCAUACCACUUGCUGUGGCCAAUGAAAUCAAAACUUCAAGGACCAGUGCCUGCUUCUCUAUAUUUUCCCCCACCUUCCGACAAGGUUCUAGGUGGUGGUUGCUCCAUCAGGCUGGGUUCCUAAAUGAGAAAAACAGCAAGAGGCAGACCCCAUAACUGUCCCACGAUGGAUAUGUAGAGUGAGCAAUAAAUAAAUCUCUGUUUUUC
ensembl:lncRNA